AACGAACGCUGGCGGCGUGCUUAACACAUGCAAGUCGAACGCGAACGUUUUCUUCGGAAAACUAGUAGAGUGGCGCACGGGUGAGUAACGCGUAAGUAACCUACCCUCGCAUCUGGGAUAACCCACCGAAAGGUGUGCUAAUACCGGAUACGUCUCAUUUAAUAUCUUUUGAUGAGAGAAAGGUGGCCUCUGAUUAAAGCUACUGUGCGGGGAGGGGCUUGCGUACCAUUAGCUGGUUGGUAGGGUAACGGCCUACCAAGGCGAUGAUGGUUAGCGGGUCUGAGAGGAUGAUCCGCCACACUGGAACUGGAACACGGACCAGACUCCUACGGGAGGCAGCAGUGAGGAAUAUUGCGCAAUGGGGGUAACCCCUGACGCAGCGACGCCGCGUGGAUGAUGAAGGCCUUCGGGUUUAAAAUCCUGUCAGAUGGGAAGAAGUGCAACGUAUCCAAUACAUACGUUGUUUGACGGUC
rnacentral:rRNA from 1 species